rnacentral:rRNA from 1 species
UACGUAGGGUGCAAGCGUUGUCCGGAAUUAUUGGGCGUAAAGAGCUCGUAGGCGGUCUGUUGCGUCGGCUGUGAAAACCCGGGGCUCAACUCCGGGCCUGCAGCCGAUACGGGCAGACUAGAGUUCGGCAGGGGAGACUGGAAUUCCUGGUGUAGCGGUGAAAUGCGCAGAUAUCAGGAGGAACACCGGUGGCGAAGGCGGGUCUCUGGGCCGAUACUGACGCUGAGGAGCGAAAGCGUGGGGGGCGAACAGG